AUGCAACUGGAUGAAGAUGAGAUUCUCAGCUCUACUUUCCCCCUCCGCAUUCCCUUUAGCAUCACCAUCGUCAAGGUCGGGUCUCCUGCUCAGGACGCCCUUGCCGAGGGCGGAGGGGGAUUUGUGCUGAAGGAGGGCUCCGGCAGCAGCGCAGCAACUCGGGGGACGCUCCUUCUCCUUGUCAGUCACGGCCCCCUGUGUCCCCAGAUGCUUGUGGGGCGACUGGGGUGUGUGAGCCCUGCUGCCAGGGCCCCGCUGGGGCUGCUCCAGGAGCUGUCCGUGACAAAGUCUCACUAUGUUGCUCAGGCUGGUCUCGAACUCCUGACCUCAAGUGAUCCUCCCACCUUAGCCUCCCAAAGUGGUGGGAUUAUAGGCAUGAGCCACUGCACCUGGCCGACCUUGGGCAAGUUCUUAUACCCCUCAAAGCCUCAUUUUUCUCCAAUCGUAAAAGGGAAUAAUGGUAAUAUUUUCCCCGCCAAAUUCUUGUCGGAUGCCCUCACAGAAUUGAGAUUAUACAUGUAAAGCAGCAAGCGCCUAGCCUGGCACAGAGGAGGAGAGCUAAACAUGACAUCCAGCAUGUGGUCAGUGGAAUCCAGUAUUCCUACCCCUCUCUCUAGUCUCCUCUCCACCCCUCUCCCUUUCAGGGGCACCAAACUGCUUGUGGUCUUGCCUAUUCCCACUCCCUGCCCGACUGAACAUUUUCUCACCUCCUGAUCAUCAGCAGCAGAAACUGGCUACUCUUCCUCCGGGCAGACAGCCAGACUGUAUUUCCCAGCUGCCCCUGCAGUGAGAUGUGGCCAUCGGAGCCAGCACUGGCCAAUGAACUCUGCACGGGAGUGAUGCACGCUGCCUCCAGGCUUGUCCCUGAAACCUCCCACGUGGCCUCUGCCUGCUCUUCCCACUUCCUAGGAGCACGACAAUCAUGGAAGACCCAGAUUCGCAAUGGCAGAGCCAUAGAUGGGAGGAACCUGGGUCCUUGACUUAAAGUAUCACGGAUUUGGACGUUUUCUUAGUGAGAAAUAAGCUUCCAUUGUGUUUAAGCCUUUA